rnacentral:rRNA from 1 species
UACGGAGGGAGCUAGCGUUGUUCGGAAUUACUGGGCGUAAAGCGCGCGUAGGCGGCUUUGUAAGUUAGAGGUGAAAGCCCGGGGCUCAACUCCAGAACUGCCUUUAAGACUGCAUCGCUUGAAUCAUGGAGAGGCGGGUGGAAUUCCGAGUGUAGAGGUGAAAUUCGUAGAUAUUCGGAAGAACACCAGUGGCGAAGGCGGCCCGCUGGACAUGUAUUGACGCUGAGGUGCGAAAGCGUGGGGAGCAAACAGG